ACUCCUACGGGAGGCAGCAGUGGGGAAUAUUGCACAAUGGGCGCAAGCCUGAUGCAGCUAUGCCGCGUGUGUGAAGAAGGCCUUAGGGUUGUAAAGCACUUUCAGUAGUGAGGAAAGGUGUAUAGUUAAUAGCAUUACACUGUGACGUUAGCUACAGAAGAAGCACCGGCAAACUCCGUGCCAGCAGCCGCGGUAAUACGGAGGGUGCGAGCGUUAAUCGGAAUUACUGGGCGUAAAGCGCGCGUAGGCGGUUAUUAAGUGAGGUGUGAAAUCCCUGGGCUCAACCUAGGAACUGCAUUUACAAACUGGAUAACUUGAGUAUGUCAGAGGGUUAUUGGAAUUUCCCCGUGUAGCAGUGAAAUGCGUAGAUAUGGGAAGGAACAUCAGUGGCGAAGGCGAAUACCGUGGGAUAAUACUGACGCUGAGGUGCGAAAGCGUGGGAGCAAACGGGAUUAGAUACCCCGUGGUAGCGACUGA
rnacentral:rRNA from 1 species